rnacentral:rRNA from 1 species
UUGGAUCAUGGCUCAGGACGAACGCUGGCGGCGUGCUUAACACAUGCAAGUCGAACGAUGAACCGCUUUCGGGCGGGGAUUAGUGGCGAACGGGUGAGUAACACGUGGGCAAUCUGCCCUGCACUCUGGGACAAGCCCUGGAAACGGGGUCUAAUACCGGAUAUGACUGUCCAUCGCAUGGUGGAUGGUGUAAAGCUCCGGCGGUGCAGGAUGAGCCCGCGGCCUAUCAGCUUGUUGGUGAGGUAGUGGCUCACCAAGGCGACGACGGGUAGCCGGCCUGAGAGGGCGACCGGCCACACUGGGACUGAGACACGGCCCAGACUCCUACGGGAGGCAGCAGUGGGGAAUAUUGCACAAUGGGCGAAAGCCUGAUGCAGCGACGCCGCGUGAGGGAUGACGGCCUUCGGGUUGUAAACCUCUUUCAGCAGGGAAGAAGCGAAAGUGACGGUACCUGCAGAAGAAGCGCCGGCUAACUACGUGCCAGCAGCCGCGGUAAUACGUAGGGCGCAAGCGUUGUCCGGAAUUAUUGGGCGUAAAGAGCUCGUAGGCGGCUUGUCACGUCGGUUGUGAAAGCCCGGGGCUUAACCCCGGGUCUGCAGUCGAUACGGGCAGGCUAGAGUUCGGUAGGGGAGAUCGGAAUUCCUGGUGUAGCGGUGAAAUGCGCAGAUAUCAGGAGGAACACCGGUGGCGAAGGCGGAUCUCUGGGCCGAUACUGACGCUGAGGAGCGAAAGCGUGGGGAGCGAACAGGAUUAGAUACCCUGGUAGUCCACGCCGUAAACGGUGGGCACUAGGUGUGGGCAACAUUCCACGUUGUCCGUGCCGCAGCUAACGCAUUAAGUGCCCCGC